UUACACUUAUUAUUACUUUUCUUUUUCACUGUCUCAUUAAAAUGAUAUGAAUGAUAUAUAUUAUGUAUCGAAUCUAAUAAAAGAACCACUUGAUAUGAAUGAAAAUUUUAAUGAAAAAUAAAAUGAAGAAAACGAUCAAUUUGCCUUAUCCAACGAUAUAAAGAUUUUGUAUUAAAUCUAUGGAAAUGAGUGAAUAGGAAAAAUGAAGGAUAAUAAUAAUGAUAUGUAUUUUAUAUCGAAAAUGAAAAUUAUAACAAGGAUGAAAAUGAAAAUAAUAAAUAAAAUGAUAAUGAAAAUGUAAUUAUAAUGAAAAUGAUAAUGAUGAAGAUGUGAUUAUGAACGGAAUGACAAGGAUGAUGAGACCGGUGAUGAUUGGGAUAACGAAGAUGAUAUUGAUAGUGAUAGUGGCAAUGACGUUAUGGUACUGGAAACAGUUGAUAAUGA